rnacentral:rRNA from 1 species
GAGGUGUUAACAGGGGACCGUAAGACGUAAUCGGCGAGCGAAAAAACCGUAGCUUGCUUUCAUGAAGUUAGCGGCGGACGGGUGAGUAACACGUGGGUAACCUGCCCAUAAGACUGGGAUAACUCCGGGAAACCGGGGCUAAUACCGGAUAACAUUUUGAACCGCAUGGUUCGAAAUUGAAAGGCGGCUUCGGCUGUCACUUAUGGAUGGACCCGCGUCGCAUUAGCUAGUUGGUGAGAGAACGGCUCACCAAGGCAACAUGCGUAGCCGACCUGAGAGGGUGAUCGGCCCCACUGGGACUGAGACACGGCCCANAUUCCUACGGGAGGCACCAGUAGGGAAUCUUCCCCAAUGGACAAAGUCUGACGGAGCACCGCCCCCGUGAGUGAUGAAGGUUUCG